rnacentral:rRNA from 1 species
GACGAACGCUGGCGGCGUGCUUAACACAUGCAAGUCGAACGAAGAGCGACGGAAGCUUGCUUCUAUCAAUCUUAGUGGCGAACGGGUGAGUAACGCGUAAUCAACCUGCCCUUCAGAGGGGGACAACAGUUGGAAACGACUGCUAAUACCGCAUACGAUCUAACCUCGGCAUCGAGGAUAGAUGAAAGGUGCCCCUAAAAGUAAACCUACAAUGAAGGAGGGGGAUGCGUUCGAUUAGCCAGUUGGAGGGGGAACGGCCCACCAAGGCGAUGAUCAGUAGCCGGUCUGAGAGGAUGAACGGCCACAUUGGGACUGAGACACGGCCCAGACUCCUACGGGAGGCAGCAGUGGGGAAUCUUCCGCAAUGGACGAAAGUCUGACGGAGCAACGCCGCGUGAGUGAUGACGGCCUUCGGGUUGUAAAGCUCUGUUAAUCGGGACGAAAGGCCUUCUUGCGAAUAGUGAGAAGGAUUGACGGUACCGGAAUAGAAAGCCACGGCUAACUACGUG